GGGGGCUAAGGCUGGGGGAGGGGAGGUGUGGGGCGACCCGGCUGGAUGGAGAGAAGGGAGAAGCCGAGCCCCAAGAGCAGAAAGGAAGAAGGCCAGAGCAGUCCCUGGCAAGAGAAGAAUCUGGCAGGAAAGACCUGGAAAAUAAGGGGUUUGGGGGCGCGGAGCUCCUCAGAAGAUGGGAAAGGGGAACUCCUGCAGACCCCGGAGAGAUCGAGAGCCCGAGAGUUAACUCCUGGGGCCGAGAUGAGAGCGCGAUGGCUCUUUGCUGGUCUCCGAGCUGAUCGUACCGAGGGAAGGGGAGAGGCGAGGCGGGGAUGCGAGUUUCCUCAGUUAAAAGUGAAAGUGUUUGCCAUCAGUGACAGCUGAGGCUCGGGGAGGUCGGCGGCGACCUGGGCCCCUCUCUCCUCGCCCGUCCUCCCUCGGUCUCUCCUCUUUCUUUUCUGCACUUUGUCCAAUGAAAGAAGGCGAGUUCGGGAGGUGAAAGUUCAGCAGAAGGACAAACCCCUGUUUGCAAGGAAACAGAAACCCCGCCAGCGAGGGGUUUUUCCUGGUAUCGCGGCAUCAGGAGAGUGCACGGCGGGGCGAGCUUCCCCCCUUCCCUGUCAGUCACUGCAGGAAUGCACGGUCGGGCCCACUGCGGGGAAGUGGCUGCUUUGGGAACUGCGUUCCUGCCACGGCUCCUCUUAGGAAAACACCCGGGGGCUGGCAUGUCAAUCAGUUGUUUAACACAAACUACCUGCUCGCCCACAAUCAGUCACGUGCAAAAGCUUUCCCAAUUGUGCAAAGGUGAGAUUUUUUUUUUCUUUUGGCCGUUUUGAAGUUCGCUCGAAUUUUAGAAAUUUGAAGGAGGAAACGAGGAGCCCGAAGGAAAUCUUUUUAAAUAUAUACAUCUAUAUUAAAAAAAAAAAAAAGGAUACUAGUAUUUCUUUCACUUUUAUCAAUAUAAAUAGAGGAAGAGGCCGAAUUUAUUUCCAAAACGUGACUUAGAAAUAUAUAGGUCCUCCACUGGCUUGUUGCUAUAACAGAAAUAAUUUUUUUUCAGAUUCAUCACCCCGGAUGCUGCCAAACUCCCAAGCCAGCACGUACAGGUUCUAGCUGGAUGGUUUACACCAGGCCAGUUCUUCAUCAAAAUGCCUCAGGAGCCAACCCUCUGAAUUCCUACAAAGUACUUCCCGCAGGAGAGCGAGAGACUUGCUGUCCCUUUGGUCUUGACACUAGCACAGUUGUAGAUAACAAAUAUCCUGAAAGGGAUAUUAUAAAUUCUUUUGGGUGAUGUACUUUUACAAAUACGGCUAUACAUUCAUUGACAGGAGAUUCAAAUCUCCGUGUCAAUGACAGGCUACCACUUACCACUUUUUAAAAUUGUAUCUGUUUUGCAAGUAAAAAAAAAUAAAAUUAAAACCAAGCCAUUCACUGGUGCUGUACAAUCAGGCACGAGGGGCUGCGAUCAGCUAGUUCCAGCACAGCAGCAUCCAUGCAUGAGGCCCCGGCGCCAGGCUCCAGUCUACCCAGACAAAACCAUCCGCCGGAUCUUCUAGGCUAGAAACUGGAUAGAUAAAACGCAUUUUAGUGUUGCGUUUCCUAGCUUCCCAGAGCUCGGUGUUCCUGUUGUCUUUGUCAAGACAUUAACACAUGUUCUCCUGUGUUCUAGACCAUAGAGUGGGCUUUUAGAGAUGCCCAGAUAAAUAAAACUCCUGCCAGGAGCGCUGCAGCCUACAGCUGUCAAUCAUAACAUCUAAUAUUUAUUGAACGCUUUCUAUGGCCUAGGCACUGAUCUAAAAGCUUUAUGUCAACUCACUUAAUACUCUCCGCACCCCUUUGACAGCACUGGAGAUUCCACAUUCUGAAUUCAUAUGGCAUUAUUCAAAAAAAUCUACAUAGUAGCCAGUCUAUUGGGAAAUUUUUGUUUUUAAUUUCUAUGAUGUUUCUGCCAAAUAUAACUUGUUUAUGAUCCAUGCCUGGUUGUAGAGAGUAUCUCAGGGGAAUAGCAAUUUAUUUAGACGUGACACAUCUAUUAAUUGUCGGUGAGGUAUCAUCCUGAUCUUGUUUUUCAAUAAGCCACAAUGGGUUGUGUUGUUUUUUUUUUUUUUUUAUCAUUAUUGCCAUACUAAAAAGAUUCUUAGAUUGCCACUGAUCUCAGUCUGCAUUUUAACUGCCUUAAAUUCUACAUUCAUUUGCAAGUGGAGGCCAGAGUCAGGUUGGCAACAAGUUUGUAGACAAAAGGAAAUCCUGGCUGUAAAUCCCAUAAUAUAUGGCACUCUGCUUCAUAUGGGAUGGUCUAAUGCGGAGACUUAUUAAGGAACAGCUAGCCCGCAGGGGCUCCCGUUCCAGGGAACUUACUGCAGCUUAACGUCUUGCUCAUUGUCGACACCGCCACGUUACAUUCGUAAGGAGCAGAUUUUAAUUUCUUUAUCAGUAAUCAACUGGAAGUUUCUUUUUGUUAAAUUACAGCAAGAAGGGUUUUCAAAUAAAGGGCAUGGGGGUAGGACGCCACCUUUUGGUGAUAAAAAUAAAUAGAAAUCCUUUUUGGAAACAUGUUCCUGACAUAAUUUUAUUUUUAAUUACACCCAGGCAAUGGUGCUUGUCCCCGUUUCCUCAUAUUUUAAGGUACACGAAAGAAAAAGAACAAUAUAAAUGGACAAUUAGCAGAUUACUGCUAACUGCAGCCAGGAUUUCCCCAGAAGUACCAGAAUGUGUCGGUGUCCUGCCGCACACCGCCAACUAGACAUCAGCCAGAGCCUUAAUCUCCACGUACUGUGCCACGGAAUAUGUGCACAUUUUGGGAAAAGGACUUGGAGUGGAGACAGUUGCCACCUCCUGAGAUGCCUGAACUCCUGGAAGUUUAGAAUUGAGCAGAAAUCAGAACAACCUCGUUCAGUGUCUCUUAAACCAGAGUUAGCGCCUUCCCAAUUUUUUUGCGCUACCUAUAUGACGUCAUUUCUACAUAAUCCUCACAGUGUACUCACUGGUGGGCAGAUGUGGUGGUGGUGUACCAUUUCCACUUCACAUCAACCUACUUGGCAUUUUUCUUUUACUACUUUCAGAGGGAAUAUGUGUCCGCCUCCAUAAACAAGCACAGUGAAACAAAGUUACUGAUUUCUGUUUGUGCGAGUUUAGCGAAAGGAAAGUAGAAAAUGCAUUAAAAGAGAUUGACCAGGUACACUAAAGGUCCUGGAGACUUUUACAGAUGCAAACCUCUCUGAAGGUUUUUCUUCUCCCCCUGCACGCCCCCGGGCUCUGGAACAAGCAGAAGGAUUCAAAGUGAUUGAAAAGGAUACAGUCCUCAGCAUGGGAGUCUCCUCUCGCUAAUGCCAGCCCGUGCCCAGGCUGCACAGCAGCGUUAUCAGAUUGCAGAUGUGACCCAUCCUCAGACCUCAGGCAGCAUGCCUAGCUCCCCAGGAACAGCCAUCCUGUGUAUCCCUUUAGAGACAUGGAGAAACCGAGGCCACGCUCAAGAUCAAGUUCAACGCCCUUCUCAGCCUCUCGGAUGUGGCAGACACCUGAGUGGGCAAACACAGGGCAGAGGGAGGGCUGCAGGGGCGGAUUUGCAAGUGUGGGUGGGCCGUUCUCAAAAUGAAAGCCAAAACCUUUGAUUUCCCUCCCAGAAGGUGAAAAAUACUAAUGAAAAUCACGUGUUUUACCCUAAGUGCCAGGAGGAGCCCAUCCUCUCUGUGCCCAUGCCCCUGUCUGUCCAAGCUGGAGGUCAGCAGGGUGUCUGCUGUUUUACCGUAUAUGAUACCAACGGGCACUGAGACCCAAUCACAUUUGCUAACUGUGUGGCUGGAAAAGUUAGCCAGGGGGCCCUGAUCGACUCCAGCUUUGCAAGUAUUUUCCUUAAAAACAAACUUCGCAGGCUCAGAUUUAAAUCUGGAGAUGUAGUGUCCUUUGUGAUAUCCUAACCAGACAGGGGCUUUAGCUACCAAGACCGCAUUUCCUGCCUUGUUUUAUUUUGUUCCUUUAAAGGAUGCAGUUGUAUACACAGAAGUAAAUAUGGCCUGCCAACAGCUUUACGUUUUUCUAAAUUGGUCCUUGUGACAAGAGGUUGCCAAGAACUCUACUGUAUAGCAGUUGGCCCCAGGGACCAGAUGGAUUGGAGUCCCUCUGCAUGACAAUGCACAAGAAAGGACUUGGCCAGUUACCUUCAUGCCAAAGAGCUGUCCCUGCGCCCUGAGCCCUGAGCACCCCUGCAAAAUCAUCCGCUGAGCCUCCCCCAGGCUGAGAUGAAGUACUACAACCAGCCACAUCUGGGUCCUCUUUACAGCUUGGCACUAUUUGACAGAAGUUCCCAUGAGCCGUCCGUCGGUCAUACCUGAUUCUCCAAACGGGCAUCUUUUAUAAACAUGGGUUAGUUUCUUCUUUUUUAUCCACUUAUAAAGUUAAGCCAUUAAAUCACCCAUGUAAAGCAUGCUUAAUUCCUUUGACAUUAAUAACAGGGUGACUUCUCUCUCCUGUUACCCCAAAGAGACUGCUAAUUGCACUGCAAUUGUUUACCUUUGUAUUGUUUUAUGAGAACUCAGGGAAAGAUGGAAGAUCUUCCCCACCAGGCCAGGAGCAAAACGCCAGACAGGUUUUGGAAAGCCUGAGCACAUGCUAUGACUACACCUUGUUAGUAGAAGGGCUUUGCUUUCUUGGUUUUGUUUUCUUUUUUAUGGAAGGAAUGACGCCUCCAUAAUUAUAGGUGUUGCUGUUUAAAUCUCAGAAUGUUUUCCAAACCGUGGAGGGGCCACACCUCCAGCAGCCGCCUGUGAGCCAUUGGGGUUGGACUCUCUCUCCAGCUUGAUGAACAGUUUAUAAAGACCCAUCGGAGGGCGCCAGGAUUUCCAUGAGCUGGAGGGACAGCAAGGGGUCCUGGUCCGAGUAGGGCUGCUUCCUGCCUGGACAUGAAGGACCCUCAGGUACUCUGCAGCCCUGGUGAGGUUCUCAGAGAGACGACAGUUGGUUCAUUUCCCUAACGAGACAACAGGUUCCUUUUGUAACCCCCCAAAAAAUAAUUAAAACCAUUGUUUUAAUACUAGUCCUAAGGCGGUGUAAUUAAGUCUCCGAGUGAGUAAUUGUGUACCUGAAUUCAAAAUAAGAUUUCACAUGUAAAGCAAAGUUCUGAUGCUAAUCUCUGAGAAGUGUCUUGGCUUAGGUUUAGAGUGCACAAGUGCCAGCUCAGCAUUACAAUAGGCAUUGUUAGGUAGGCCUGGAGGACAAGACUCAUUUGUCUGAGAGGGGAGAAGAGGCAGGCCCACCCACCUGCAGGAACAGGGAAGCUGGGUGCUCCUCCCUGUGGAAGGCGUUGGGGGGACUGCGCAGGGUGAGGCACCCGCACUUUCGUGGAUGAGAACAUCUUCACAUAGGCUUUUAAACAAGAAUAUCUACAAAAUAGCUCUCAAGAGCAACUUCCC